UACGUAGGGCGCAAGCGUUAUCCGGAAUUAUUGGGCGUAAAGAGCUCGUAGGCGGCUCAGCAAGUCGGCCGUGAAAACCCGGGGCUCAACUCCGGAUCUGCGGUGGGUACGGGCAGACUAGAGUGAUGUAGGGGAGACUGGAAUUCCUGGUGUAGCGGUGAAAUGCGCAGAUAUCAGGAGGAACACCGAUGGCGAAGGCAGGUCUCUGGGCAUUAACUGACGCUGAGGAGCGAAAGCAUGGGGAGCGAACAGG
rnacentral:misc_RNA from 1 species